UGUGGUGUAGGUCUCAGCGGUAGAGCCGACUCGACGGAGUGAGCGCGCAGGUUCGAAUCCUGCCACCACAC
rnacentral:tRNA from 1 species